CCUACGGGAGGCAGCAGUGGGGAAUAUUGGACAAUGGGCGAAAGCCUGAUCCAGCAAUGCCGCGUGAGUGAUGAAGGCCUUAGGGUUGUAAAGCUCUUUUACCAGGGAUGAUAAUGACAGUACCUGGAGAAUAAGCUCCGGCUAACUCCGUGCCAGCAGCCGCGGUAAUACGGAGGGAGCUAGCGUUGUUCGGAAUUACUGGGCGUAAAGCGUACGUAGGCGGUUAUUCAAGUCAGAGGUGAAAGCCUGGAGCUCAACUCCAGAACUGCCUUUGAAACUAGAUAGCUAGAAUCUUGGAGAGGUGAGUGGAAUUCCGAGUGUAGAGGUGAAAUUCGUAGAUAUUCGGAAGAACACCAGUGGCGAAGGCGACUCACUGGACAAGUAUUGACGCUGAGGUACGAAAAGCGUGGGGAGCAAACAGGAUUAGAUACCCUGGUAGUCCACGCCGUAAACGAUGAUAAACUAGCUGUUCGGGCUCUACGAGCUUGAGUGGCGCAGCUAACGCAUUAAGUUAUCCGCCGUCGGGAGGUACGGUCGCGAAGAAUUAAAACUAACAAAGAAAGUUAGUACGGCGUGAGACGUGCCGAACGGACGACCGAACGAAGGGGAAGGUUAGGGAG
rnacentral:rRNA from 1 species